UACGUAGGUGGCAAGCGUUGUCCGGAAUUAUUGGGCGUAAAGAGCUCGUAGGCGGUUUGUCACGUCUGCUGUGAAAACUGGAGGCUCAACCUCCAGCCUGCAGUGGGUACGGGCAGACUAGAGUGCGGUAGGGGAGAUUGGAAUUCCUGGUGUAGCGGUGGAAUGCGCAGAUAUCGGGAGGGAACACCGGUGGCGAAGGCGGUUCUCUGGGCCGAUACUGACGCUGAGGAGCGAAAGCGUGGGGGGAGCAAACAGG
rnacentral:rRNA from 1 species